CACACUCCAAGCUCUGCUUGAUGUUGGACGACCCGAGAGAUCGGACGUCUGGAACGUGUGGGCGUCGGGCGUCGGACCACGAGCGUAGCAAGACCUUUACAAGUCAAGUCGCUCUGUGGAGCCGGCGGUCGACCGCCUCUCCCAAAACUUAUUCCACGA
rnacentral:misc_RNA from 1 species